GUUUAACGCUGGCGGCGUGCCUAAUACAUGCAAGUCGAGCGGACAGAUGGGAGCUUGCUCCCUGAUGUUAGCGGCGGACGGGUGAGUAACACGUGGGUAACCUGCCUGUAAGACUGGGAUAACUCCGGGAAACCGGGGCUAAUACCGGAUGGUUGUUUGAACCGCAUGGUUCAGACAUAAAAGGUGGCUUCGGCUACCACUUACAGAUGGACCCGCGGCGCAUUAGCUAGUUGGUGAGGUAACGGCUCACCAAGGCGACGAUGCGUAGCCGACCUGAGAGGGUGAUCGGCCACACUGGGACUGAGACACGGCCCAGACUCCUACGGGAGGCAGCAGUAGGGAAUCUUCCGCAAUGGACGAAAGUCUGACGGAGCAACGCCGCGUGAGUGAUGAAGGUUUUCGGAUCGUAAAGCUCUGUUGUUAGGGAAGAACAAGUGCCGUUCAAAUAGGGCGGCACCUUGACGGUACCUAACCAGAAAGCCACGGCUAACUACGUGCCAGCAGCCGCGGUAAUACGUAGGUGGCAAGCGUUGUCCGGAAUUAUUGGGCGUAAGGGCUCG
rnacentral:rRNA from 1 species